AUCCCUCUCUCUUCUUUCUUUUUCCCGCCGCCCUCUUCUUCUUCUUCUUCUUCCAUGGCUGCCUCCACCCUAAGCGUGACUGGUGCUCUCAGGAGGACAUGAUGGGGUGGGGGGAGGAGCCGUCAAAUGAUUUUUCAGAAAGAAGUGGCUAUAAGAUCUUAAUUCAAAGUGUUGUGGCUGCUGAUAGGAGUGAUACUUAUAAAACUUUUUAUAAAAAAACUCUGGUAGAUCAAUUUACCAGAGAAAAUAAAAAUUACAACAUAGAUAAUUUUUAAAAAUUACAUCCCUAGCUAUUACAAUUUGUACAAUAGGAGGAUAUGAAGUUCAGCAAUGUGCCCAAAAUGUACAAGAGAUGUCGAAACUUCUGAGCAUAUCUUUAGCGACUAUCCGUCUGUAGCAGAAAUAUGGAGAAAGAUGUUGAAUGGCCUGAUAAUAUUGCAAAUAGUUCUUUACAGGAUUGGCUUAAUUAUAUUGUUUCCUCUUUCUCUACUACUACAUGCAGAGCAGUGAUUUGUACUCUAUGGUAUAUUUGGUCAACAAGAAACAGGCUAAUACAUGACAGAAGGAUCAUAUUAUCUCAAGACAUAAUUCAUAUAGUCGAGGCUUAUAUUAGAGAGGUUAAUGGGGUACAAAGGAAAUUACCUGUUAAAAGGGUGAAGAGUGAACGAUGGAGGCUUCUAGAGGCUUCUUUCCUUAAAGUAAAUUUUGAUGCAGCGUUUAAAGGAAAUGACAGGAGAUCUUGCACGGAGAUUGUAACCAGAAACUAGGAGGAUCAAGUGGUGGGUUCAAAGACAAUAGUGAAUCGUCAUAUACCUACGAGUUUUGUAGUAGAGGCCCUUGAAUAUCUCCAGGCAGUGGUUUGGGGGAUAUAUUUAGGGAUUCGAGAAGUGCUGGUGGAAGGGGACGCCUUGUCGAUGACAAAAAGGAUGUGGUCCUGCAAUGAAAAUGGUUCGGUUAUAGGGGCUUAUAUACAAGAUGCAAAAAAAAAAAAAAAAAAGCAGAAGGUUUCACAAGAUGCUCAUUUAGACAUGUUCAUAAAGACGCGAAUAGAGUUGCACAUAUACUAGCCAGAGAGGGGGAGUACUUAUCUGGAGGGGUGUGUGUCGGAUUUUGCGAGAGAUGCGGUGGACAACGAUCGGUGCGAGCAAUAGUUGGGGGAAGUUGAAAGAAAUGGUGGAAAUGCUUCUCUGAUAGUAUCGCAAGGAAUUUGAAGGGGGCUCUGACGAGAGGAGGAUAUUGAAGGCCGUGGGGUGAGGGUAUGAAGGCUGGUGGCUUUUACUGGCCGUGGUGAUAGGUUGCUGGAUUUCCUUGAAGAUCGAUGAUCUUAGGGGGGCUCGAUUUGAGAUCAGGGAGGAGGUGACGGUAUGAUUUUUUGCUUAGAAUUAGAGGUUGCUGUUUGGUUUUCCAUGGAAAGGGAGAGUGGGUAUGGCUUUGGAAACGAUAGAUUUCUCGAAUGCUUUGCUAAGUGGAAAAGUUUGGUUAUUAUUUAUUUAAUUUGUUUAGUUCAGAUUUUUCUAUUGGGUUUUGAUUUCUUUUGAUUAUAUAUUUUUGUUUAGUCUAGUUUAUUAUUAUUAAUAAAAUAACUCAGAUUCCUUAAAAA